GCGUCAGUAGUGUAACUGAUAGAGUACGCAUUCCUGGAAAGAGUGAGGUGCGGGUUCGAGUCCCAGCUGACGCG